rnacentral:sRNA from 1 species
GGAUGAGAACCUCCGGGGGCAAGAGGUUCGACUCGAGCGAAGCGAGAGAACGUUGCGUCAGCAACGGCCCGCAGAGCGAGCCACGCAGUGGCGAGUCAUCCUCUAUCACCGACCA